rnacentral:rRNA from 1 species
UACGGAGGGUGCGAGCGUUGUCCGGAAUCACUGGGCGUAAAGGGCGCGUAGGCGGCCUGGCAAGUCGAUGGUGAAAGCCCGAGGCUCAACUUCGGGUCGGCCACUGAUACUGCUGGGCUUGAGUCGACUAGAGGCAGAUGGAAUUCCGGGUGUAGCGGUGGAAUGCGUAGAGAUCCGGAAGAACACCGGUGGCGAAGGCGACUCACUGGACACGUAUUGACGCUGAGGUGCGAAAGCGUGGGGAGCAAACAGG